GGUCUAUGCAUUGCCGGAAAAUACGACUUAAGAAGGACUCGGGUGCUAAUCACAUGCACAAUUUUGCACCUUGUGAUCAUCCCGGCCGUCAGUGUGAUAAUUCAUGCCCAUGUAUACAAGCACAAAACUUCUGCAAGAAAUUUUAUCAGUGCAGCAGCGAAUGCCAGAACAGAUUUCCUGAGUGAAUAUUGCAGCGAAAUUAUCAGUCAAGACGAAGCUGAC